GACGAACGCUGGCGGCGUGCUUAACACAUGCAAGUCGAGCGGAAAGGCCCUGCUUUUGUGGGGUGCCCGAGUGGCGAACGGGUGAGUAUCACGUGAGUAUCCUGCCCUUGACUUUGGGAUAACUUCAGGCAACUGGGGCUAAUACCGGAUAUCAGCUCCUGCUGCAUGGGGGGGGUUGGAUAGUUUCGGCGGUUGGGGAUGAACUUGUGGCUUAUCAGCUUGUUGGUGGGGUGGCGGCUUACCAAGGCAUUGACGGGUAGCCGGCCUGGGAGGGUGACCGGACACAGUGGCACUGAGAUACGGCCAAGGGUGCUACGGGAGGCAGCGGUGGGGAAGAUUGCCCAAUGGGCGGAGGCAUGAUGCAGCAGCGCCGCGUGCGGAAUGACGGCCUUUGGGGUGUAAACCGCUUUCGCAUGUAACGAAGCGUUAGUGACGGUAAUGGGUAAAGAAGCACCGGCUAACUACGUG
rnacentral:rRNA from 1 species